GGUGUUUUCUCUCCAUUCCGGGUGCUCGUUGCCUUGCCACCUGAGGCCUGCUGCUCUGCAGGCUGAGCGUGGAAGCAGCCCCACAUUUGUGCCUUCGGUGUGCUCCCUGUGACUGGCUCAACGUGCAAGUUUCGAACUGUGAUGACCGUGAUUGUUCAUGCUAACAGGUGGCUUUUACAGAAUAGAAUAGAGAAGGUAGAGAGUACCUCAGCGCAGUGAAGAAGGGCAGAGUGCUGACAGGCACAGGAACCGCUCCCCUGGCAGUCGCUCUCCCACUCCAGUUAGCUUGGGACUGAAAAUACAGGCACUGCUCUGCCAAGCAACUGCCUGUCCAGGUUGUAAUUGGGGCAGUUAGCCAGCAUUUCUGUAAAUUUCAAAGGUGAGAAGUCCUCUCUGAGCUGGACAGUGCAAUGGAGACUGAAGCUCCUCGCAGGGCCCUCGUGCGGUGCUGGAAAAGGUCGAGCAGGAGAGCCCAUGGCAGCAAUGUCCCACUGGGAAAAUGCCAAGAAGAGAGGCCCAGGAGGUGCACUGUCUGCGUGUCUGCUGUCUGCCCUUGUCUGCACUCCGUCCCCAAAAGGACGUGUAACCAAAAACAUCCCCUCUGCUUGUCCUGGCUUCACAGCGUGCUUACAGGCUCACCUAAUUUUAGUCUUCAGAACUCUCCAAUGAACUCAGUAGACCUACUUACACGUAAAGUUUAUGCCUGUAUCUAUACUUUACAAAUGCCUCUUGAAUGCAUUUCUUAUUAGGAAUAAUUGUUCCAAUAAUUUUAAUAAUCAAUUCCUGGCCUGGGGCUUUCUUAAGUAUUUUUGUCGGUUUUGAGGAUCCUUCAUACUCAAAAUCCAAAGUCUUCUCCUGAGACAUACAAGUCACUUUUAUCCUCCUGUCAUAUAUCACUUCCUUUCUGAGGUGCCCAGAACUUGAUGCAAGAUCUUAGGUGGACUAAAUUCUAUUCUUUCCCCUUAAGCCUAAUGAGUCAUUAAAAAAGGCAAGUGGGAAAUAGCUAGGCAAUUAAAAUACAGAAUACGGAGAAAAAAAAUUAAAGUAAUGCAUCCUUGGACUGUAAUUUAGAGAAUUUAUUAGUCAUAAAACCUUGAUGAGUUAUUCUUAUGACAAAACCUGUAAUAAGAAGGAAAAAAAUGAUAAAAAUACCAAACACAUUUGUACGACAGCAAUUGUAACAAGUAUGGGAAAUGACAGAACCCUCCUUUGGAAGGAUUUGGCUUCAUAAUUACAAUCACAUGGAUAUCUUUUAAUGUCAUUGUUUGGGUAAUUUAUUGUUAAUUUUGUCUUGGAACCUUUUUCGCUGAAACUUACUUGCAUUUUAUCUUUCAAAAAUAAACACGGCUCUUGUCUUCUCUGAAGCGAA